GGCAGGGGGGUUGGAACUAAAUGAUCUUUAAGGUCCCUUCCAACCCGAGCCGUUCUAUGAUUCUAUGAUUCUAUGAAAAUGCCCUCAAAGCUAAAUGACAUUGAUAUUUUUAAGUAUUUUCCAUGUGUGGUUUUAAUAGGGCUAAUGUUAAACAGAACUACAUUUUUAAUAUAAAAAAUUUACACGCAUUAUUUUUUCUAUUGGUAUCAGUUGGCUACUUUAUACUAUAGAAGAUAAGAAUGCUCAAGAAACGCUCAAAUACACUGUUACAGUAUAGAGUACAUGCACAUCACUGCCUGUCACAUCACAUUCAAAUGAUUUCUGCAGAAGAAACAUGAGGAUAGGGAGGGAGAAUGGUAGAGGCCACCUUUUCCUGGAUAUUACUCCUCUCAGUCUUGGUAACUGACUUUCUGGCCUCCCUGUGGUAACUACUGCUGUCUUGAAAGAUGCUUAUUCACGGGCAAUAUUGUCUUGGAACCUGUUUUAAAACCAGAAAGAAAAGAAAAAAAAAAAAAAAGUGUUCAGAGACAUAAAAUACUUUGUGCAACAUUUCUUGGAGUAAUUAGUCACUCAGCAAAACAUGCCAGUAACUCAUAGCAGCAUUUUGUCUUGAACAAAUUCAGAAUGGAAAAUAUAGUUAUAAGCUGCUUAAGAGACCUGAAUUUAAUAUUCUCAAAACUAAAAAUCUGCACCUGCCAAUGAAGACAUAUGAAUGCACAGGCAAGAUAUAACCACAGGCAAACCUCCACAGCUGACUGCAGAUAGCUCCGAGUACCACACUUGUAUCCCCCUGGCCAGAAGCAAGCCAGCUGCAGCAGGGAAGUCAUGUAGCCUUCCUGCAGAAGGCACGUUAAAUCAAAUGCAGCAUUUUGUUAACAUGACUGUACAGCUUCUGGACCAGAGCUCUGAAUGGAAGACAGAAAUUGCUGAUGGAUCAUGAUCUGAUGAUCUUCUGUUGACCACACAGAUAUAACGUUUAGAGGAGAAGGAAACAGCCUACUUAAGAACAUAAAUGGUGAAACAAACUCAUAAACAGAGAAUUUUACCUGAAAAUGUAUAAGUGAAAUCUGCCUGGAGGAUGAGAAAUUCAGGUGUGAAAUGGGUGCGGCUACAGUUGCAAAUUUAAUAAGACAUGAAUUUGUUUUUUCCGUCAGUGUGUAGUAUUGACAUGCCUGUGGCUGCAGGCAUAUAAGAGAAUUAAUGUAAUUGACGUACUGGCAUCAGACAGAAAAUUGUACUAUAUUAAAUAUUUCUUUGUAAUUAAUACACCUGAUUAUACUUUUUUUUUUUUUUUCAUUACAAAUACUUCCCAUACCAUCAGCAAACUCAGCACCUUCAGUAGUGUAACAUGGAAUGUGACACACUCUGUCAGACACAGAUUGUCUUCUCCUGGAUAGGGGAAGAAUUCUGUUUUCCAUGCAGUGUUUAGUUUUUGAUGGUUUGGUCUGUUGUUUCCUUGGUCUGUUUUUAAAAAUAUGCAAUGGUCUGAAAUUCACUUGUAAGUAUGACCCACUAUCAUGAUUUAUGCUCAACAGGUCAGCUGAAGUUGUAGAUGGUACCUAAUACUGUUCAUCAGUAAGGCUUUUAGCUGUGCUAGCACAAACUGUCUGAGUGCCUUGCAUAGAAGGACUUGAGGUUAGGUCUACAAAAGGAUGGAGAUAUCUAAACCUGAAAUCUGAAAUUCCUACUCCGCUGUCAGCUAAUACAGGAGACAGAAAUAUACUGUCACGUUGAGAAGUGACAACUGUGUUAAAAAGGGCAGAUUUCAUCCUCCACAAUUGGCUUUCUGUUGACUGGGUGUUUCUUGUUGUAUUUCUGUGAAUUUUUAUCAAAAAUUCAUCUGAAUGAAAAUCUCAGUUCCUGAAUUGCCUAGGUAAAAAUGAGCUAUAUAUACAGCCUCAAUUUUUUGUUAUUCAGUGGGUGAGCCUUUCCCUUGAUCUCUGGUCUUCCAGUUUGUAUUUUUACCUUAUUGUUUGUCAAGGGUAGGAACACACACUUUUUGUGUAACUGCUUUUAUUAACAUGUAAAAGGUCUGCCCCUCUAUCACUCAAACAUAUUCAGGGAUUCUACAAAGAAUAGAAUAAUGAAGCAUUGGUCAGAAAUCCCCUAAAACCCUGUGGACAGAACCUUUGGUAGUGCGUCAGAAAAGAGGUGUUCAAAUCUCUAUUCACGUACGUGACUACAGAGGGAAAUCUCAUUUGCAACACUGUGCUGAGGGGAGGCAAAGACCUGGCAGGCUUUGGCAGGGUAUCUCAGGAGUCACAGCUGUGAUUUUUUAAAAACAGAAAUUUGCCUCUCUCCCCAUGCCUUGGUGAGGGUGAGUACAAGAGUCUCUCUUGCACUUUUCCCACUAGCUCAUUUUGACAAUGCUUUGCUCAGUACACUUGGUUAUCUUGAUCCCCAUUGACAGACAUAUAGCACUGAAAGAACUGGGAGUGUAUGAGCUGCAGAUGCUGGUUCUACACAGAAGAAAUUCAGCAAGGUAGGUAUUGCAAUGAGGAGCUGGGCACCCUUGUUAAGAAAGCCUAAACAUUGAACUUCAACUUUACUUAAUAGUUCCAGGGAGGCUAGCACAGAGAGCAAUACAUCUUGUUUCUGUACCUUGUGUUUAUAUUGCUGCUGUAUACACAGCCUUUAUAUAGUAUUCACUACUGGCAAUGGUCAGAUCUAGGGUUUUUAUGCACAGAAACUGUAAUUGAAAAUGUAUUUUUAUCAACUCUGUUAUCAGGUAACUUCUGCACCAGUAAAUUCAAGUAAGCAUACUGAAGAGAACCACUGUGUACGGUGUUGCCUUGGACACUCACAUCCCAUGAGUAUGCAAAAUUAAACAGUCCUCCAAAAAGUCCUUUAAAAAAGACAAGUUGAGUUAUUCUCAAGGAAGAAGAAAUCACAACUUUCAUUCAUGGUCCAUUUACCUUUCCUUUCACUCCUUUUGUGACUGAAUACUUUCACAGAGUUCCUCUGAGGAAAUGAGGUUUAAGAGCCCUUCUCCAAUGUCAUCUCUGUAUAGUAGUAGAUGGCUCAUUAGCUUCUGUCCCAACCAGGAGACAUGAACUCCACGAUCCCAUUUACUUCGAUUUGCAGCCUCAGGUAUUCUUUGAAUAACCUGAUCUCAAGACUCAAGGCUUGCUAUUUGUAAGAAACUACUGACUUGAGAAGGGAGGAGAAAGAGACCGGAAAGGAGAACUGAGAACUCAAGUAGUGGGCAGAUAUUGGUGGCAUCUCAGUAACCUUAAUAUAAUGACAACAGAUCCCACUAUUCAUACUUAGCAAAUAAAAUUCCCACCUUCUUGUCA
rnacentral:lncRNA from 1 species